AUAUAUGCACACACACGCACACACACACCACUCCCAAGGGCGUUUCUGCUGCUCCUUCCGCACUCCGCGCCCCUCCGCCCCACGCAGGCACGCACGUGUCACAUGCAUGACGUGGUGGUCGCGCUUCCGUUCAGAACAACAGGAGAGCGCGAGAGGCGUGGACAGAACGAGCAAAGAAGAAGGGGGCGGCGUACAGCACCGGCGAACCGAUAACGCCGCGCCAUCACCGUCGCCUUGACAUGCUGCGCAUCAGCCCUCCGCGCUGUGCGCCGCUGCAGGCCUCUCGCCCUCUCUUCUUCUUCUCGUGGCUGCGUCAGAGCAGUGGACACCGCGGCAGCGCCGCCGCGACGUGGCGCACAAAGGCAAAGAACACCUUCAUCAGCGAGGGCGCGAUGGGCCUCGGUGGCGGCGAUGUGGGUCAGCCCAUGGCUAACGAGGCCUCCGAGGCGCUGGAUGGCAAAGGCACGAGCACCGCCAGUUAUCGGCAAGCUGCUCUGAACGGCACCGUCAGACGUGGCUUCGGCAAUGGGCAAGCCUUCCAGGCCGGCGGCGGUGCCGCUCCAGGGUCCACCGUGCCAAAGCAGCCGAUAGACGACAUCUUGAUAGAGCGUGGAGCGCACUUGUCUGGGCCGAGCCGGCGUCCCCUCUCGUACGACCUCGAGAUCCACCGCGCCGCCCGCGCGCGUGAGGCGGCACAGAAGCAAGCCUCGCAGGAGUAUCUGCUCCACUUCGACGAGCAGAACAUGCCGCGCAACCCCCACGACCCGAACCGAAAGCGUGCGAGCUGGGAAUUCACGCCGACGCCAGAGCACAAGUCCCUCGUUUUGCUUCUCUACCGCAACGUGCUGAAAGGCUUGAUGAACUAUAAGAGCGUCCGACGCCGCAGCAUGAUCGCCUACGCCCGCAUGUGUUUUCGCCGUCGCGCUAUGGCGACGGAGAAACUGCUGAUUGACGAGUGCAUUGAAGAGUGUCGGCGCUCCAUCUACGUGCUGGAAAAGCAUCACAACUUCACAAAGACGGGCACGUACGAGUUCGACUCGAUGACGCUACCCAAGGACACGGGUCAGGACGUGAAGACGUACAUGGAGGAGGUGUACGACCCGGAGCAGUCCCGCAUGCAGUUCCAGAACUUCACUGAUGUGCAGCCGGGCAGAGAGCACUUGCAUCGGCAAGGGCUCGGGCCCACGUCGGGGUCGCACCACUGGAAGGACCAAAAGACCUCGGAGGGCUUCAAGGUGGAGAUUCGCGACGAGGACAGGGCCCUGCGGCCGCCGCCGCCGCCCGGGGUGGCGAGCUGACGCCUGCACACACGCACACACACACACAUAUUCAUAUAUAUGCACACCUCUCUCUCUUUAUCGACGAAACAGAUGAGUACGGCGCCGUACUCGAUGUGCAUAGCGUUGAAAACGACGGGCAAGUCGCGCUUGGAGCGGCCGUGCAACCACCGACCCGCCUUCCUCUGAUGUCCCUCUUUUUCAGUGGCUCUCUCGACAGAGAAGGGGCGGCAGGGCGCGUCCAUUCUUGGGCGCGCCCGCGGGCUGCUGAUGCCCUGCUUCGUUGCUUUUUGUUGCGGGUGCGGUGAUGACCCCACAUGGAUGCAAUCAUCUUCAGCUCCCGCCCUUCAUGUACGUCUGCAGAUGCGUGCCGGCGCCUUCUCCGCGCGCGCAUGGUCUCGGUGCAUCUGUGUAGGUGUCGGCGUCGGUGUCGGGGUGUGCUUGUCGGGUGCACGCCACCUCCUUUUCUAUAUUCUGUUGUUUUCCGACGCCGAUUUGGGGGCGCUCGUGUGGUGCGUUCACGCUCACUGAAAAAGUGCCACUGGCACCCGAUCCCCUUCUCGCCCUCCCCUUUUCUGUGUGUGUGUGUGUGUGUGUGUCGUGCGUCUACUUUGUGGUGGCGGAUUCAACACGUUAGAAGAACAGUAACACCUAAACUCCGUCGCUCCCUCAUGGCGAGAGGGGCACACCCCACCCUGUGUGAGCGCGUGAGGCAGCCCCCACCCGCCCUCACCGCACCCCUGCCAAGUGCCGCACCACCUGUGGUGGCGACGGGGCCAAGCGCCUGCGACGUAGGGGAAGUCAGAGCGACUCAUCGCUGCUGAUGUCGGCGGUCGCGUCCCGGAUGGCGUGGCGUCGGAGCGACCGGCGACGGUGAACACGUCUUUGCCACCCACAUGAUGGGCGAAGCGUCACCGCUCCCCGAGCGUAACUCAGCCGCACCUGAGAGGUGCACGACGUGGCGACCGGCAUGAUGGGAGAGGCUGGGAGGCAGCGUGCGCGGUGCAGGGUGGGCGGGGUGUAGGGCAGGGGCCGUGCUCCGAUGACUGGGCUGGCGCAUGCGCUGUAGCAUGUGUCUACGUAUGUGCGUGUGUGUGUCCGCGGCUGCAUUGCACCACGCUGGUGGGGGCCUGUGGCAGUGCCAGCGGGGGAGGGUAGAGGAGCGUGCAACUCACGAUCAACGGCGGAGAAUGGGCAUGCUCGUGCGAAAUGAAUCUCCCGUUGUUGUCGGUAUGCGAGAAACCCGCUCGUACGCGGUCUCUCAACGUCUCUGUGGCGCAUCGCGCAGAGAUGCGGGAAUUGCCGUCAGCUUCUUCUCCCCACCCCCCCCCCGAACACACACACACACACUCGCAUGCCCAUGCGUUCACGUCCUCAUCACUGCGACCUCAACCGCCGCGAUUGCACACCUUGUCCGUUAUCUGCGCCUGCCCCUUUCAUGUCUUUCGUCUCCCUCUCUCUCCCUCUGUUUUCUGUGUAUGCGGGCUUGCGUCUCUAACGGAGUCGCUGAGUGCAG
rnacentral:misc_RNA from 1 species